CGGUCCCGAUUUAUCGGGACAGUGGCGAAUGGGUGAGUAACGCGUAAGUAACCUGCCCCUAAGUAAGGGAUAACUUCGAGAAAUUGGAGCUAAUACUGUAUGUGGUGAUGGGGGUAAGGCUUCAUCACUAAAGCCUUCGGGUGCUUGGGGAGGGGCUUGCGUCCGAUUAGCUAGUUGGUAAGGUAACGGCCUACCAAGGCGAUGAUCGGUAGCUGGUCUGAGAGGACGAUCAGCCACACUGGGACUGAGACACGGCCCAGACUCCUACGGGAGGCAGCAGCAAGGAAUAUUGUGCAAUGGGCGAAAGCCUGACACAGCGACGCCGCGUGAGGGAAGAAGGCCUUCGGGUUGUAAACCUCUUUUCUCAGGGAAGAAAAAUGACGGUACCUGAGGAAUAAGUCUCGGCUAACUACGUGCCAGCAGCCGCGGUAAUACGUAGGAGGCAAGCGUUAUCCGGAUUUAUUGGGCGUGAAGAGGGUGUAGGCGGCUCUUCAAGUUGGAUGUAAAAUCUCCCGGCUCAACCGGGAGGGAACAUUCAAUACUGCUGGGCUAGAGUGCAGCAGGGGGAGGUGGAAUUCCCGGUGGAGUGGUGAAAUGCGUAGAUAUCGGGAGGAACACCAGUGGCGAAGGCGGCCUCCUGGGCUGUUACUGACGCUGAGACCCGAAAGCGUGGGGGGCGAACAGAAUUAGAUACUCUGGUAGUCCACGCCGUAAACGAUGGACACUAGGUAUGGGGAGUAUCGACCCUUUCCGUGCCGAAGCUAAC
rnacentral:rRNA from 1 species